rnacentral:rRNA from 1 species
UGCGUAGGCGGCUUUUUAAGUCAGUGGUGAAAUCUUGCCGCUUAACGGUAAAAUUGCCAUUGAUACUGAAGAGCUUGAGUCCAGUUGAGGUAAGCGGAAUGUGUAGUGUAGCGGUGAAAUGCUUAGAUAUUACACAGAACACCAAUUGCGAAGGCAGCUUACUAAACUGUCACUGACGCUGAUGCACGAAAGCGUGGGGAGCGAACAGGAUUAGAUACCCUGGUAGUCCACGCCGUAAACGAUGCUCACUCGCUGUUUGCGAUACACAGCAAGCGGCCAAGCGAAAGCAUUAAGUGAGCCACCUGGGGAUACGAUCGCAAGGUUGAA